AUAAUCUAAUGGUAGCAUAUAACUCCAUAAUAAAUCACCUCUUUAUUAGUUAUCUAAUGGCAUAAUACCUAAUAAAAUCUCUAAACUAUUAAAAAUAAUUUAAAUAAAUUUUUAUUUUUUAUUACAUUUAAUCACACUCUUAUCUUUUUAUUUUAAAUUAAAUAAAUUUUUAUAAUUAAUAAUUAACUAAUUAUUAUUAGUUAAAAUUAAGACCGGGCGUAACCGGUCGAUUGCUCGGUCGCAAUUGAGCAAUCGAUUGAAAUCGAUGUCGGUGGCCACAACUGGAUUGAUUUUUCGACGUUGGCUGUGAUCAGCAGUUUUGGGGACAUCGCGGUUCGGUCGUCGGGGGCACUUCCUCUCCACCUGAACCGUUCAAAAAAUCUAAGCAGAUGAAAUUCCAAUCAUAGGCCUCAUUAAUCCUCCCUCUUCUUCCUUUCCCCUCCCCCAAAUUCCAUUUGUUCUGGGCCCCUCUCACUUUGUAUCAAAUUUGAAACCCUAAAAAUUAAGAACCUCCCCCUUUCUCCCUUCACUUGCCUACCCUUUGCUGGCUUGCUGCCAUCUCUUGCUGUCGUCUUCCUCGUCGCCUGUCUCCUCUAUUUCCUUUUCCUUAUCCAGCCAUUUAUCUUCAAGGCUAAAAGUAUGUUGAGUUGUUGACACUUGACAGGUUGUAUUGUAAGCCAAUGAAAGUCAGAUUUUGAUUUUCUUCAUUCGUUUUGUUGUGUGAACAUAGCUUGUUGGUUUUUUGAGGAUUGAUGCUUGUAUUGUCAUGGGUUUUGUGGGGAUUUUGUUGUGUAUAUACAGUAUUGUAUGGUGCUAGUAUAGACUAGAGUUUUUUAUUGCUACAAUUCAGAAAUAAUUGUUUAAUUGUCAUGGAAACCAGAGCAGCUAUCAUCUUUUUCAAGGACCAAACUUGAAAACUAAGCAUUCAACUUGUUUUAUCCAAUUUUUAAUAAAUU
rnacentral:lncRNA from 1 species